GUAGUCAAAGAUCUGCCUGCUUUUGCCUCCCCAAUGCUUGGAUCAAAGUCAUGUGUCUGUCACGCGAAUGUUACAAGACAGAAGGUGAAAGCCAAGUAUUGGAGAUGGAAUGAAGUUUGAGAAAAGAUGGAAAGAAGAGCCACACAACCAGAAUGACUCUUCCUUGGUCAUCCACUAUGCAUCAUUAGUAAAGGGAGAAAUGCAUGGGUAAUUGAAGAGCUAAUCAACAACUACC